rnacentral:rRNA from 1 species
AGCAGUGGGGAAUAUUGGACAAUGGGCGCAAGCCUGAUCCAGCAAUGCCGCGUGGAUGAAGAAGGUCUUCGGAUUGUAAAGUCCUUUCGGCGGGGACGAUGAUGACGGUACCCGCAGAAGAAGCCCCGGCUAACUUCGUGCCAGCAGCCGCGGUAAUACGAAGGGGGCUAGCGUUGCUCGGAAUGACUGGGCGUAAAGGGCGCGUAGGCGGAUUGAUCAGUCGGGCGUGAAAUUCCUGGGCUUAACCUGGGGGCUGCGUUCGAGACGGUUGGUCUAGAGUUUGGCAGAGGGUCGUGGAAUUCCCAGUGUAGAGGUGAAAUUCGUAGAUAUUGGGAAGAACACCGGUGGCGAAGGCGGCGACCUGGGCCUUGACUGACGCUGAGG